rnacentral:lncRNA from 1 species
CUCCCACACAGGUUCUCCUGUAAUAUGUCCUGUCCAUUUGGUUUAACUGUCCUUGAAAAAGCCCAUGGAGCCUCCCUAUCCUCCCUGGAGAAGCAACAAGUCAGGCAAGGCAAAGCAAGACCUCAUCCAAGCCCCAAGGUGGCUGCCCUCUAGGCUCUACCAGUGCUGCAGCUCAGCAGGAGCAGCCAGGAACUUCAUGCACAUGAGUGGAGGUACUGGUGUUCACUGGUGCAAGCUGCAGUGGCUCUUAGGGCAUUGCUUCACACAGGGAAAAGUAACUGUUAGCCGCGCUCUAUUUUAGGUGGCAAAUAUAGUUCUCUACUCCUGGACUGCUCCCCUGAGAAACGCAGAGAAUCCGGAGAGUGGUUUUAACUGAUUCUGCAGCAGAAGAGAGGCACUGCACUGAGUCACUUGGCCUGAGAACCUCACUGAGCUGAGUAACAUGUGAUAAACUCUGUGGUAUUCAAGAGAGGAGCUUCUGCCAACAUAGAGUGAGUGUUGUUUCAAGAAACAGUUUUGACCUGGGUGAUAGAACUAAAAUGAGGAAUUCUUUUCUCCACAAAAGACUGAGAACACAUGAGAGUAUGCACAGACUGGAAUGCUUUUGAUCAUUCUCCCUCCUGUCUCGUCCCUCCAAGCCUCCCUCCCAAAAAAGCAGAUCUGUUGGCACCAAGUACUUUCAAAAUGCUGUAUGAGUUUGAGAAAUUAUAUCCUGACAGAUAAAGACUUACCCAAAUUCUGCAACCUUGCUUGCCUCUUGGGAGAGUGCUGCUGCUAUAGGGAAGAGAGUUGGAUAUGGCUUGGGCUCAGGCCACCUAAGGAAGGAUCUGGCUUUCAAUAUAAAAUUUAGAUUUUUAUUCUUUUUUACAAGUUCAAAGUUUAGGGUAAUUUGGAUUCAAAAGUUUGGUUUGGCUACUCCUGGGCUUUAUAUAUAAUAUUAGCAUCUCUGGUUGCUUCCCAGGAGUCCACUGAUGUCUUUAAAAGGAGUAUCAGCACAUGCAGAAGUUGCUAUUUUGGCAGUAGUUGAAGGUCAGUAGGCAAGGUUUACCUGUGCUUAAAAUGUGAAGUUAAUGCUUGGAAUUUUGGAAGGGUCUAAAAGUGUUAGCUAAUAUAUUAGUGCCAGUGCUAUUUAUGCUUCUGUGAAAGUCUCACUUUAGCUUACAUCAUUCUCCUCCCCUGGACCAGCAUGAUGAAGAAUCACUGCAAAAAAAAAACAAAAAACAAAACAGAUGAAGUUGCUGAUAGGGCCUCCACAGAAACCUAUGUUGAAGAAAUACACGGAAUCGAUACACUGUGUAGUUUCCUUGGUCAGCCUCCACUGUGGUUGUUUCCCACAGCCUGGCUGGUAUGGUUGGAAAUUCUUUUCUAUCUAUGAUGUUGAAUAAAGAUGAUCAGUUGAGCA